rnacentral:rRNA from 1 species
AAGUGGCCAACAUGGUGCCAGCAGCCGCGGUCAUACUAUGGCUUUGUUUAUGAAUUAUUUAAAUAUAUAUUUUUUUUAACUACGACGGUAAAAUGUGUAAAUUUCCUUAAUUAAAUAAUUUUAAUCUAGAACAAAAACUAGGAUUAGAUACCCUACUAUUCUAUACACAAUUUUUAAAUAAGCACUAAUAUCAUAUGAUAGAAACUUAAAGAAUAUGGCGGCUGAGUUUAACUUCAGGGGAACUUACCAAAUAAUAGAUAACCACCAAGAAGCUUCUCUUAUUUUUAUAAUUUGUAUACCGUCGUCAUCAGAAUAUUCAUAAAGUAUAUUCAAAAGGUUUAUACAAAAUGACAGAUCAUGGUGCAGUAAACAAAUAAGUUACUGGCGAGUUACAAUAACUAAGAUUUCGAAAGCCAAAUUAAUUUAAGUUGAAGCUGGACUUGAAAGUAAAUUUAAUUUUAUUUAAAUUUUGAAUUUAAAAAGUUCAGUGUACAAAUCGCCCGUCACUCUCUUUAUUUAAAUGAGAUAAGUCGUAACAUAGUAGAGGUAGCUGAAGCUGCCUCU